UUUAUAAUUUGGUACCUGAAAUAUAAUUAGUCUUAUUCAAAAUCCAUUGUUUAGCCCAGAGUGGUCAAACUGCAGUCACAGGCACACUCAUUCAUUAAUGAGGUGUCUGCCACUUGCUUUCCUCCUGUAGUGGCAGAGUUGAGCAAUGAGACCAUCUGGCCUGCAGACCUAAAAUAUUUACUCUCUGACCUUUUAAGGAAAAACUGCCAGUUCCUGGUUCAAAUGAUAAAAAUUUUGGAAAAAUAAACCUAGUCCACAGAGCCUAUAUUUUAAUAUACUAAUAGUUUUAAUCUUGGUAAAACGAACCAGUACUUUACAUUUCAGUGCAAGCUGCUUAGUAUACUUUAAAAUGGCCAUUUUAGGUAAUUGCAACAAAUGGUAUAUUUUGCUUUUUUUUUUGGUAUUUUGUUUAUACUUUCACAUUGGAUUUCUCAAUAGUUAUUAAUAUUUCACCUUUGUUUUUGUGUGUUUUGUUUUACUGAGUAGGACUAAAGGAAAUUUUAGGUCUUGUUUAAACCACAAGGCACAUAAUGCUCUAUCUGAAAGAAUCUUGGAAGUGGAAAAUACUGUAAAAUUUAAAAUUGUUUAUUUUUUAAAAAUAACUUUUUCAUAU